CUUGGUUUUAGAUCGAUCGAGCCCAGAAGAAAAAUUUCCAAACCUAAAUCAUCUAAUUCAAUGUCAUUCCCACUUUAUAAUGAUUUGUAUAUAUCAAGACGGAGAUCAUGAAAUGGGCUUAUUCCCUUCCAAGUUCCUCUUCUUCUUUUAUUAAAGGACUUUCCAGGUAGAUUGAACCAAGGGGACACAUCUCCCUCGCCAGGUUUGGAGAUCUAUAAAUCCCCAAUCCAAAUGGGACGUAUUCCCAAUUUUUCGAUCGGCUACAAGAUAGUAAUUGAAAUCUUUAUCUAGCCAAUCUGGAAUUUGGUUAUCAGAUUUCUUAGUCGAAUAAAAGCAGAUUUUUACAACUGAUGGGGAAGGAUUGGAGCAUUGAAAACUAUCAUGGGCUUGAUGAGAGCGAAAACAAGGGACCAAACUUUGUUUGGAUUCCUUGGAGAGCGAUGAUUGAAGCCUAAAAAUUUUCCUUUUCUAUGAAGAACUCGAUGAGAAGUUGGCAACGAAGAAAUGCAGGAGUUUGCAAGA